ACUCACACAACACACAGGACCCCCCUCAAUAACAAAGAAUUAUCUGGUCCAAAAUGUCGGUGGUAUUAAGGCUUGAGAAAUCCUGACUUAGAGAGACCUCAACUGGAAUCUCUGUUAUGAUACCUAAUAGCUGUGUGUCCUUGUAACACACUCCAUCUUUAUGAAUAUCCUUAUCUGUAUAGUCCACAUAGUGGGUUAAAUGAGAUAAUCUAUUACAGCUUUUAGCACACGGUCUGACUCCUGGAAGCUCUCAACAAUCUUUAAGUGCUUUAUAGAUUUCUCUCCCAACACAUGCCUCUCUGGAGAGCUCAAGUGGGAAUUAGAAUUGGGAGGUGUCCAGCGUAAGGCGAGAGGAAGUGCCAUACCACGCACAGGUAGGUCAUCAGGUCACAAGAAGGCAAAGGCCAAGGCUUGCAGAAAUAUAUUGAAUUCCAUAUUUUCUUUGGAUGUUUUCCAGUUUCAAAUAUGUCUACUUCAUUGGGCGAAAUAUGGCUUGAAUUAGGGACAGUCUUUUCUCUGAAUGUAAAAGGUUACAUCAUGCAUUUCCAGGAUCUGUGCAGCCUACUUCUCCUUCCUCGAAAUCAUUUAGAAAGAUGCGUCAGGCACAUCAGAUUUCCUGCUCGCAGUGUCAGGUCUGGAAGGUCCCCGAGGGGGUGGGGAGGGGUGGAAAGCAGUCUUUGGAGGGGUUGGACUGUUUGACACACACCAAUACCCUCAGAGAGUUUUCUGCUAAUUAAAAAGUUAUUAGAAUACAUUUCUAUAUUGAGACCCACACUGCAUUUUACAGAAAGGUUUAAUUACUUGCACACUAAAGUAAUUUUUUUAUGCUCUUACAUUAGCUUCCUCAACCUAUGCAAAAUGGGAUCCCUGGGCCAACAGUAUUUGCUUCACGUGGUCUUUGUUAGAAAUGCAGAACCUCAGGCUCCGCUCCUGAGGACAAAGUGAGGUAGAAUCUGCAUUGUAACAAGAUCCCCAGGCAAGAAGCAUUCUCUAGUCUCUGGUAUGGUUCCCCCUCCUUGAUACUGGAAUUUUCUCUUUCACCCUGCUUUCACAGCUCCACAAACCUUGUGCAUUUGUCUUUCACUGUGAGCCACCUCAAUCCUUUCUAGGCUUCGAUGGGAUAUAAGUAUUUAUUAAAGGUGAAGUGUCAUCAGUCCUCCAAACCAGGGUCUGGCAUAGAACUCUUCUUAAUUGUUUUGAUCUCUGCUUUACAGGUUAGGAGCAGAGGCUCAAAAAGGAUGACCCUGACAGAGAAAGGCAGUGCUCAGCAGCAGCUUCAAGGGCUUCAUUAGCUCCUAUUACUACCCCCAAGCCACCACUAAUUAUCUAAUAAUAAUAAUAAUGUGAUUAUUUUGCAUAAAAUUGCAAAUGAUAAAUAAAAUCAUGCAAGACAUACAAAUCCACUUCAAGACACUCCCCUCUCACCCUUCCAGCCCUUUCAACUCGCUCGUGGUCCCUGUCGCCCUUCCAGAUGGAACUUGGAGAGUGACACUGCACCCAAAGCCACUUCAUUCUACCACCCCGUUGCUGCAACAUUUCUCCUGGAAACUAAGAAAAGCUCUAAAUAAUUUCCCAAACACUUUGAAUCAGGAAGUGUUUUGGAAAUUUCCUACAGUCUUAUAGGAAAGUGUCAUAACUGGCUAUUCUCUGGUCUUUUCCUGUCCAGUUCUUUUAAACAGAAGGAAUUUGACUGGCUGUCCUGGACCAGGGUUAUCCCCCCUUCCACAUCAGUCUACAAUGUGUCAGAUGAAGAAAUGAGGCUUACUCCUUCAUUUUGUGAAAUGUAUCCUCUGGUGAAGUCUGGAUACCAUGGUCCAAAAAAUGCACAAGAGAGGUGAAAGGAGUCCUUUUUCUUAAAUGCUUGGAGUUCUUCUGAUCUAAAUGCCAAUAAAUAAGGAGAUUUGGAGUCAGAGCCCAGCAAAUCCUCGCUCUCGCAUUUCCUGCCUGUGUGACUUUGAGCAAGCCACUCGAACACUCUGAGCUUUGGUUUCAUCAUCCACAAGAUCUUAUGCUUAUCACAGUAAGAAUCGCAUGAGCUCAUGGAUUGUUAUGGGAAUGCGAGCAGAUGUUU